CCUCAGCAGGAAACCAGCCUGCUCUGAAGGGACAUUUGAAAUGAAGAAAUAGAGGACAAAUAUAAAUAUGGAUGGAGGUUAAAACUCCCAGUAUAGGUGUGAAGUCAUAAACCAUUUGACCGAAAAUAAUUCAUUAUGUUGUUUGUGUUGCCAGCUUGCUGAACUCAUGGAACAAAAAUUCCUGGGAGAUUUAUGGAUUUUCAAACAAAGAAGAAUUCUGUGAGAGCGCAUGUUGUACUUCUGAUUGCAGCAGAUGCACACAGGAACUGACAACACAGUUUGGAAGAAUAGUGUGUGAAUUUGUGUCUGAGAGAGACUGAUGUGUAGAAACAGUGACACAUUGACUAGAGAACCAAGAAAGAAACCAGAAUGUGCACAUCUAUGGAAACACGAAAGUAGGAGAGCAGGAAGAAAAGAGCAUGGUGUCUCAGCUUGUCUGGAACUUGAAGUAAAUUGAAAGAGUGGGAAAAGGAUGCAGUAGCUCAUGGGUGACUCUGCUCCAACGCAUCAUACAAGUAUUACUGACUGGCACACUAGCUGUCUCCCUUGUCAUUUUGAAGCAGGAAGCCCACCUGUGGCAUCAGAAUAGCACUCCAUGCUGAUCAUCGUCAAAGUCCGGUGUUCAAUUCAGAGGCAAUGUCAAAACGAGCAAGGGAAGAGAAAGAAAGAGAAAGUGAAGAGAAACCAGCCUGGAUUGAUUUAAAGAGCAGGCCUGAAGGAACCUCUUUGAGUAUGCUUGCAUCUUUGCAGAACUGGAGCUGGCUUUCUGUAAAUGAGAUGCAAAAUGGAGGAAUUCAGGAAAUUCAUGUGGCAGUUUCAGCGCUGCGCAGGACUGCAAGUUUGAUCC